UCAGGUAAAAGUGCAUUUCUUAAAAAAAUGUUUCAAUAUCCAGUUUCCAUUGGCAAGUGAUAACAGUUAACCCUCAAUGAUUCAUGAAAAGUUUUACUGUGAAUCAAACAUAGAAUUCUGCCCCCCCUCAACAGUCAUAAAGAACCAGAAAUAGUAACUGUAAGUGUGCCUACUUCAAACACUGUAUAAAGCAGUGGUCCCCUAACCUUUUUUCAACAGGGACCGGUUUCGUGGAGACAAUUUCCACAGACACAGGUGUUGGGGUAGAUGGUUUCAGGAUGAGACUGUUCCACCUCAGAUCAUCGGGUAUUAGAUUCUCAUAAUGAGCGCACAACCUAGAUCUCUUGCAUGUGCAGUUCACAAUAGGGUUCACGCUCCUGUAAGAAUCUAAUGCCACCCAGGGGUUUGAGACCCCUAGUAUAAAGCAUUACACAAUCAAAUAAAACUGACUGCACCAUUAUUUCCAUUAUUUGCAGGUAACUGAGGAAUGAACAAGUACUUCUGUUAGGCUUCAACUUAAAUCAUUUUUAAGACUUAUCAAAUACAAAUACUUUGUGAAUGUAAAACUAAGCUCUCUUAGCGUUUACCAAAUGAUCGGGACAACAAUAUUAGAGGGUUAAUAAAUGACUGAUUUGGCAUCUAUCAGUCUUUUUGUAAGUGCUAUCAGUCAGGUCUAUCUACAGGAGGUAGUGCAGAAAGCAACUGAUAAUUCACAGACCAUCAAGGUCCCUUAACAUCAUGGCAAAUACGUAACUGUAGUUUGAGAGUUUAAGUAGGAAAAAGAAGUGUACUUAUAAAGUAGUAGUGUUUCCUAGUAUCUGUAAUUUGAGCAAUAGUAAAACACGUAAGUAAAAUCAGGAGAAGCCAUUCUGGAAAACACAGGGGUAACAGAAAUUAAGUAAUCAAGACCACAUUCUGCCAGCUAGAAGCAAAUAACUAAAUUGACUAACAUGCCAUGCAUGAGCAAAACCUUCCUCCAUAAAAGGGAUUGACAAACUCUUUAAAAGGCCAGGCAGUAUUUUGACUGUUGGAAGCCAUACAGACUCUGCUAUACUACUAAACUCAGCCACUGUACCAGGAAAGCAGCUAAAGACAAUAAGCACAGCUGUUCCAAUAAAACUUUAUUUCUGGAUACUGAAAUUUUAAUUUAAUAUGUUUUCAUGUGUCACAAAAUGUCCUUCUUUUGACUUUUUUCACCAUUAAAAAAUGUAAAAACCAGUCUCAGCUCACAGAUAGUACAAAAAACAGCUUACCAUAACACAUUUGGUUUUAACUGUUCUUUGGAGAAAGGAAGGCUUAGUAUGUAAAGAAAAAAAUGAUUAGGACCACAUCGGAAAAUUUAACAUUCUAUUUCAGAACUGAGUAAAUUCUCACAACUGUUUAGACUACUAUAUUAAAUAUUUAUAGAUCUUCAAACUUCAAUGACUUACACUUUAACGGCUACUUGCAAAGAGCAAUAUGUAAAGCCUGGCACAUAAUAUACUUAUUAACUGGACAUCAGAAAGCACGAAACCCAAUUUGUUUUACAGAUCAAACUAUCAAUAAAUUUUGAUAAAUUUUUAAAACCUAUUACUUAACUUUCGGCUACAUUUUCCUUAGUGCUUUCAGGGUAGUUCUUACAGAUUAUUUAAAUAUGUGAGGAAAAUCUAACACCUUAACAGAAUUCCAAGAAAAACUCACUUUUCGAGAAUCAUAUUAUUCAACUCCAUCUUUCAAAUUUCACUUUACGAUGAAACAGGAAUUUUCAACCACAUAAUAUAACAGAAAAUUAAGUGACCA
rnacentral:lncRNA from 1 species